rnacentral:rRNA from 1 species
UACAGAGGGUGCAAGCGUUAAUCGGAAUUACUGGGCGUAAAGGGCGCGUAGGUGGUUAAUUAAGUCAGAUGUGAAAUCCCCGGGCUUAACCUGGGAAUUGCAUUUGAAACUGAUUGGCUAGAGUACGGGAGAGGGAAGUGGAAUUUCCGGUGUAGCGGUGAAAUGCGUAGAUAUCGGAAGGAACACCAGUGGCGAAGGCGACUUCCUGGCCCGUUACUGACACUGAGGCGCGAAAGCGUGGGGAGCGAACAGG